UACGGGGAGGCAAGCGUUGUUCGGAUUUACUGGGCGUAAAGGGAGCGUAGGCGGGAGCCUAAGUUGGGUGUUUAAUUCCGGGGCCCAACCCCGGGCGUGCACUCAAAACUGGGUUUCGUUGAAUAGGGGAGAGGUCGGUGGAAUUGGAGGUGUAGCGGUCGGAAUGCGUAGAGAUCUCCAAGAACACCCGUUGCGAAGGCGGCCGACUGGACCCAUAUUGACGCUGAGGUGCGAAAGCGUGGGGAGCAAACAGG
rnacentral:rRNA from 1 species